GACAGAGGUGGCAAGCGUUGUUCGGAAUUACUGGGCGUAAAGGGUGUGUAGGCGGUUGGAUAAGUCAGAGGUGAAAGCCCAUAGCUUAACUAUGGAAGUGCCUUUGAUACUGUCUGACUUGAGUGCAGGAGAGGAGGGUGGAAUUCCCGGUGUAGAGGUGAAAUUCGUAGAUAUCGGGGGGAACACCAGCGGCGAAGGCGGCCCUCUGGACUGCAACUGACGCUGAAACACGAAAGCGUGGGGAGCAAACAGG
rnacentral:rRNA from 1 species